UACGUAGGGUGCGAGCGUUGUCCGGAGUUAUUGGGCGUAAAGGGCGCGUAGGCGGCUCUGCACGUUCGUUGUGAAAUCGCCCGGCUCAACUGGGCGGGGUCAGCGGAUACGGCAGAGCUUGAGCAAGCUAGGGGGCAAUGGAAUUCCCGGUGUAGUGGUGGAAUGCGUAGAUAUUGGGAAGAACACCGGUGGCGAAGGCGGCGACCUGGUCCAUGACUGACGCUGAGGCGCGAAAGCGUGGGGAGCAAACAGG
rnacentral:rRNA from 1 species